rnacentral:rRNA from 1 species
GAUGAACGCUGGCGGCGUGCCUAAUACAUGCAAGUCGAGCGAACAGACGAGGAGCUUGCUCCUCCGACGUUAGCGGCGGACGGGUGAGUAACACGUGGAUAACCUACCUAUAAGACUGGGAUAACUUCGGGAAACCGGAGCUAAUACCGGAUAAUAUAUUGAACCGCAUGGUUCAAUAGUGAAAGACGGUUUUGCUGUCACUUAUAGAUGGAUCCGCGCCGCAUUAGCUAGUUGGUAAGGUAACGGCUUACCAAGGCGACGAUGCGUAGCCGACCUGAGAGGGUGAUCGGCCACACUGGAACUGAGACACGGUCCAGACUCCUACGGGAGGCAGCAGUAGGGAAUCUUCCGCAAUGGGCGAAGGCCUGACGGAGCAACGCCGCGUGAGUGAUGAAGGUCUUCGGAUCGUAAAACUCUGUUAUUAGGGAAGAACAAAUGUGUAAGUAACUAUGCACGUCUUGACGGUACCUAAUCAGAAAGCCACGGCUAACUACGUG